AGCAGCGUGGCUCAGUGGAAAGAGCAUGGGCUUGGGAGUCAGAGGUCAUGGGUUCAAAUCCCACCUCAGCCG
rnacentral:tRNA from 1 species